rnacentral:lncRNA from 1 species
CCGGUUUCCACUGUGUUUAUUACUAAUAUAAAAAAAAUUAAAAAGAAAACAAAAUCAUUCUUAGUUCUAGCGCUCUCUCUCCUCUUGCACACAUACCUCCUGACCCACUUCCUUAGGGCCUGUUCAAAACCCAACAUGUUCACUGCUGUUUUCACAGAAAACACCCAGUGUGAGGGAAGUAAGAGGGUCAGAGAGGAGGGCACGACGGGGAGGCAGUCUGAAGAUGUCUCACAUCCUCCCGUUUUGGGAG